CGGGGGCUUUUAUCGCCUGCAGAACACUCUGGGCUCCAGGUGGGAUCGGCAGCCCGCGGGAAGGGGAGUCUGAGCGUGCCGGGACCCUCCUGGGUCGGCCCCCUCCCCACCCCGCUGCCCUGGAAAAACUGAAAAACAAGCCUUAGUGUUCUAUGGGCCCACCGGCCGGGGUUUUAAACCUCUGGAGUAAGGUUUAAAAACGGAACCUCCAAAGCGGGGAUUCCCAGCAGUGUUUGUCAUCUCCAAGGAUGUGAAACAAAAGCUGGGUCUGAAAAAUACCAAGGGCGUGGGGGGGGGGGAGUGAGUGUGUAUAUACUCAGGAGUAUGUGAGUGUGAGUGUAAAUGUGUGUGUGUGUGUGUAAAUGUGUAUACUCAGGAGUAUGUGAGUGUGUAAAUUGUGUGAGUGUGUACUCAGGAGUAUGUGAGUGUGUAAAUGUAUGUGUGUGUACUCAGGAGUGUGAGUGUGUGCUUGGGAGUAUGUGUGUGUAAAUAUGUGUGUGCACUCAGGAGUGUGUGAGUGUGUAAAUGUGUGGGUGUGUACUCAGGAGUAUGUGAGUGUGUAAAUUGUGUGAGUGUGUACUCAGGAGUAUGUGAGUGUGUAAAUGUAUGUGUGUGUACUCAGGAGUGUGUGUGUGUGCUCGGGAGUAUGUGUGUGUAAAUAUGUGUGUGCACUCAGGAGUGUGUGAGUGUGUAAAUGUGUGGGUGUACUCAGGAGUAUGUGAGUGUGUAAAUUGUGUGAGUGUGUACUCAGGAGUAUGUGAGUGUGUAAAUGUAUGUGUGUGUACUCAGGAGAGUGUGUGUGUGUGCUCGGGAGUAUGUGUGUGUAAACAUGUGUGUGUACUCAGGAGUAUGUGAGUGUGUAAAUGCGUGGGUGUGUGUACUCAGGAGUAUGUGAGUGUGUAAAUUGUGUGAGUGUGUACUCAGGAGUAUGUGAGUGUGUAAAUGUAUGUGUGUGUACUCAGGAGAGUGUGUGUGUGUGCUCGGGAGUAUGUGUGUGUAAAUAUGUGUGUGUACUCAGGAGUGUGUGAGUGUGUGUACUCAGGAGUAUGUGAGCGUGUAAAUGUAUGUGUGUGUACUCAGGAGUAUGUGAGUGUGUGCUCGGGAGUAUGUGUGUGUAAAUAUGUGUGUACUCAGGAGUGUGUGUGUGUGCUCGGGAGUAUGUGUGUGUAAAUGUGUGGGUGUACUCAGGAGUAUGUGAGUGUGUAAAUGUGUGAGUGUGUGUACUCAGGAGUAUGUGAGUGUGUAAAGGUGUGUGCUCAGGAGUAUGUGUGUGUAAAUAUGUGUGUGAGUGUGUAAAUGUGUGAGUGUACUCAGGAGCAUGUGAGUGUGUAAAUGUGUGAGUGUGUGUACUCAGGAGUGUGUAAAGGUGUGAGUGUGUGUACUCAGGAGUAUGUGAGUGUGUAAAUGUGUGUGCGAGUGUGUGUAUACUCAGGAGUGUGAAUGUGCAAAUGUGUGUGUAUACUCAGGAGUGUAUAAAUGUGUGUGUGUGAGUGUGUGUCUACUCAGGAGUAUGUGAGUGUGUAAAGGUGUGUAUUUGGAGUAUGUGUGUGUAAAUAUGUGUGUGUGUGUGUGUGUGUGAGUCUGGGUCUACUCAGGAGUGUGUGAGUGUGGAGUAUGAGCACAUGGGCGGCCGUGUACGUGUGUCAUUGUGAGUGCAGAUGGGUGGCAGGGAGACAGUGACCCAUGGAAAGAAAACAGCCCAAAGGCGGCUUGGGGAGGGCGCUAGCUGAGCGCAGAGAAGGGACCCACUGUAGAAGGGAGAGGGGGGCCCCGGGCAUCAGCGGCCGAGAUACUGCUGAGGAGCAGGAGGAGGCCCCCCCAAGGGCAGGUCCUCGGGACCCGCGGCUCUGGAGACUCGACUUUCCUCCGCUGCGUGUUUCUGCCAUCGUUCCUCAUUUCCAGUGAACCUAACUCUGUGCUGGCCCUUCCCCCAGUGGGAGUGCUUUGUACAUAUUGGGGAGCACGGCCCCCCGGUUUCAGGACAUUACUCGCCGGGAGGUGGGGGGUGCUAUCGCCUUAAUCUGACAGCCGUGGAGACCGAGGCACUCGGGGUGAAGCCAUGUGCCCGGAGUCACGCAGCCAGAGAGCGUCCGAGGUCCAGCCCUGAGACGGCGGCGGCUGCCCAGGUUGUGGGUCAGCCAGAGUCCCAGACAGGAGGAGGAGGAGGAGGCCCCUUUGUCCUCAGGAAGGGAAUGCUGGGCUUUACUCUGGCCGUAGCCGCUACUUGCCAGUCCCGUGCGGGCAGCCCCCACCCCCGACCCCUUUGGCCCAUGAGCUCCUGGGGACAGAGGCUGCUUUUGCCUUUUUUAUCUCCCCAGUAACCAGCACAGCACCUGGUACACAGUAGGCGCUUGAUAAAUGCUUGCUGGCCCCCAAAAGAAGGUGAUGGUGACUAGGAGGGGACCAGAGACCAGGCCCUUCUAGGAGGAAGCAAAGGAGCUGGGGCCAUUUGGCCAGGAGGAGAGAAGGCCCCGGAGGGCGGCACGGUGAGCCCGCCGUCAGUGCCCCGUGGGUCCGUCAGUCAGAGUGGGGCGGGCGGCUGAGCUGGAGCGGUGUCCCUUCUGGCUCACAAGGAGCGGGCCAGGCCUCCGGACGAUGACCCCCCACUUUUCAGAGAGCAGAGCUGACCUGGGGGCUCCGGGGCCGGAGCAGCAGGUGUCCCCUGGGGGCGCCCACGAGGUGACAGGGAGCUCUGGUGGGAGGGCCAGGGCUCCCGUGGGGCCGGGACCCUCACUCACCCAGUGCUGAGAAUGGUCUACUCCUGGGAGCGGUCCCUGGGGGGGAGGGGGGAAACGGGAUGUCCUCUGGCAAAGGUCAGUGGUGAGGGGGACAGUGUCCUGUGACAAAGGUCAAUGUCUGGGGGAAAGUGUCCUCUGGCGGAGGUCAGUGUUGGGCGGGGGUGGGGGGACAAUGUCCUGUGACAAAAGCCGAUGGUGAGGAGGAGGGAGUACAACUUCCUCGGGCAAAGGUCAGUGGUGAGGGGGACAGUGUGCUCCGGCCAUGGUCAGUGGCGAGGGGGCACGGCCGUAGCUCCCACUUCCAGACGGUCUGCAGGAGACCAGUUUCUAGCCAGAGACCAGUACGGUGGCUGCUGGGUGCGGUCUCUGGGGGUCUCGUUCCCUCUCUGACAGCCUCCCACGACCCCCUAGAGGGAGGCCAAGGGGUCAAGCCCAGGACCACAACGCCCUCCCCAAGCCC